rnacentral:rRNA from 1 species
GACGAACGCUGGCGGCGUGCUUAACACAUGCAAGUCGAGCGGUAAGGCCCUUUCGGGGGUACACGAGCGGCGAACGGGUGAGUAACACGUGGGUGACCUGCCCUUAGCUCUGGGAUAAGCCUGGGAAACUGGGUCUAAUACCGGAUAUGACCUCAUGACUCAUGUUGUGGGGUGGAAAGCCUUGUGCGGCUAGGGAUGGGCCCGCGGCCUAUCAGCUUGUUGGUGGGGUAAUUGCCUACCAAGGCGACGACGGGUAGCCGGCCUGAGAGGGCGACCGGCCACACUGGGACUGAGACACGGCCCAGACUCCUACGGGAGGCAGCAGUGGGGAAUCUUGCGCAAUGGGCGAAAGCCUGACGCAGCGACGCCGCGUGAGGGAUGACGGCCUCGGUUGUAAC